AUUGAACGCUGGCGGCAGGCCUAACACAUGCAAGUCGAACGAGAGGCGGACGGGUGAGUAAUGUCUGGGAAACUGCCUGAUGGAGGGGGAUAAAUACUGGAAACGGUAGCUAAUACCGAAUAGCAUCGGAUGUGGCCAGAUGGGAUUGGCUAGUAGGUGGGGUAACGGCUCACCUAGGCGACGAUCCCUAGCUGGUCUGAGAGGAUGACCAGCCACACUGGAACUGAGACACGGUCCAGACUCCUACGGGAGGCAGCAGUGGGGAAUAUUGCACAAUGGGCGCAAGCCUUAUGCAGCCAUGCCGCGUGUAUGAAGAAGGCCUUCGGGUUGUAAAGUACUUUCAGCUGGGAGGCGUUACCCGCAGAAGAAGCACCGGCUAACUCCGUGCCAGCAGCCGCGGUAAUAC
rnacentral:rRNA from 1 species